GGAAACGAGAAUAGCUUGCUAUUCGGCGUCGAGCGGCGGACGGGUGAGUAAUGCUUGGGAAUAUGCCUUUGAGUGGGGGACAACAGUUGGAAACGACUGCUAAUACCGCAUAACGUCUACGGACCAAAGGGGGGGACGCUUCGGCACCUCUCGCUCAUUGAUUAGCCCAAGUGAGAUUAGCUAGUUGGUAAGGUAAUGGCUUACCAAGGCGACGAUCUCUAGCUGGUUUGAGAGGAUGAUCAGCCACACUGGGACUGAGACACGGCCCAGACUCCUACGGGAGGCAGCAGUGGGGAAUAUUGCACAAUGGGCGAAAGCCUGAUGCAGCCAUGCCGCGUGUGUGAAGAAGGCCUUCGGGUUGUAAAGCACUUUCAGCGAGGAGGAAAGGUUAGUAGUUAAUAA
rnacentral:rRNA from 1 species